CGCAUCCUGCAGGAAGGAUCCCAGAGGAUCCAAAUGGAACAGAUGGUGCCUGCUGGGAUGAGCAAGUUCUCUGUCUGCUGACCCUACAUUAAGCCAUGUAGCAGGGCAGCAGGGGCCAACCACCCCAUUGGGCCCUCUGAGCUGACAGUCAGACAGCUCUGAGCACCUCAGUGGCAUUGGAGUUGCCAAAGAGCUUGGCUGAUGUGGAACUUAUCCUGCCUUCCUGGUACUGACCUUUCAAACCAGCGCACUGUUUAGAGACCAACGUGCAGUUUCUCCAAGGACUCCACUCUGACAAUGGGGCACAUCUGGAGUUACAUCUGGAGUUAGGUAAAAGACAUCACCAGCCAGCGAGCAUUCACAGACUUGCAAGGGUUGGGCCAGGGCCAGUGGGGACUGUGACUACAGAUGCCCUCCAUCUCUGAUGGCGCAUUCUUAUCGAGGGCGACCGACCACAAUGAGCAGCCUUUGAGAGACCGCAGCUCAGCUGGCUUUGAUGUCACCUGGCCUGUGGCCUGCCUGUGUGGAUGCAGCGAUCCUUCUACCCGGCCACACGCCCACUGGGCCCCGCACACCCUGCAAGCAGCUGGAAGUCAGGCUUCACAGCCACUGUGAGAAGCCCCCACCGCAGGCCACUCUAACAUCACUCACAGCUUCCAGUGCCUGCCCAAGUUCA